rnacentral:lncRNA from 1 species
AGGUCCAGCCCUGCAGCAUCGACGAUGUCGCAGACGCGACGGCUACUCUCAAGGCAUUGCACGACUUACAGGUGUGCAACUGGAUGGGAAGUUGCGUAAUCUGCUGAAAGAUAUAGGGCUGCGGCCCCCGUCAUUCUUUCUCUCGAACACUAGGAAUGAUGCUACCCUAGAUAAAUCAAGCUGAAAUGAGCCAUGGGAUCAACGAUGCAGGAACAGUUAGGCUAAUACCCCUGCAGUGGCCUUCUUCAAAGAUGACCUCAACCAACUCACACAAGUGCAUGAGGCCAGUCCAUCUCCGAAGGUACCUGUCACCUGUUUGUGGUUACGGAGCUCAUCUGCCAAACAUCGCUUUGAAGCUGGCUGUUGAGUACCUGUUUGCUGUUCACUACUGCUUGAACAUCAAAUAUGCUGCAUGUGUGGGAGCGACACUCGAAUUUCUUCAGAGGCG